rnacentral:rRNA from 1 species
UCAGUCGACUCCUACGGGGAGGCAGCAGUGAGGAAUAUUGGGUCAAUGGGCGCAAGCCUGAACCAGCCAUGCCGCGUGCAGGAAGACUGCCCUAUGGGUUGUAAACUGCUUUAUACAGGAAGAAACACUCGGACGUGUCCGAGCUUGACGGUACUGUAAGAAUAAGGAUCGGCUAACUCCGUGCCAGCAGCCGCGGUAAUACGGAGGAUCCAAGCGUUAUCCGGAAUCAUUGGGUUUAAAGGGUCCGUAGGUGGAUUAGUAAGUCAGAGGUGAAAGCCUGCAGCUCAACUGUAGAACUGCCUUUGAUACUGCUAGUCUUGAGUCAUUAUGAAGUGGUUAGAAUGUGUAGUGUAGCGGUGAAAUGCAUAGAUAUUACACAGAAUACCGAUUGCGAAGGCAGAUCACUAAUAAUGUACUGACACUGAUGGACGAAAGCGUGGGGAGCGAACAGGAUUAGAUACCCUGGUAG